AUAAUUGGUAUUUCCAGUGCUGUGGAUUUUAGACAUUUUAAUAUGCUUAGAGCCAUUCUAAUGGGCAUCUAAUUGUAAUUUAAUGUGCAAUUCUUUUAUGAAAAAUGAUGCUGAGCGUUGUAAUGUACUUAUUUGCUAUAUGUAUAUCUUCUUUGGCUGUGUAUAUUUUUGCCCAUUUUAAAAUUUUUGUUUUGUUUUCUUAGUGUUGAUUUUAAAAGUUUUUUUCUUUUUUUGUAUAUUUGGAUUCAAAACCUUUAUUGUUUAUGUGUUUUACAAAUUCAUUUGGACAGUAUGUGGCUUAUCUUCCACAAAGCUGAGUUCUAGCUGACAAAAUUCUCAUGCCAAUUUUCUUCAUGGGUCAUAGUUUUGGUGCUUUUUUUUUUUAAAUGCAUUGUCAAAACCAAAAUCAUUUUUUCUUCUAUGCCUCCAUUCUAGAAGUUUUUGUUUUGAAUUUUUCAGUUUAUAUUAUAGUGGAUGAUCUAAUUUGAUUUAAUUUUGUGAAAGUGACAAAGUCUAUGUAUAUACACUCUUUUUACAUAUGGACAUCCAAUUAUUCCAAUACUAUUUUUUGAAAAGGUUGUCCUUUCUCCAUGGAAUUGUCUUUGCUCCUUUGUCAUCUGCUUAUAAUUUCAUAUGUCUAUAUCUGGAAUUUCUACUGAGUUUUGUUUAUUUAUAUAUGUAUUCUUUCAUCAUUGCCAUGCUUUCUUGAUUACUGUAGCUUUACAGCAACUCUUAAUAUCAAGGAGUGUGAGUUCUACAACUUCAUUCUUGUUUGUUUUAUUUUUUUUGUUUGGCUUAUCUUGGUUUCUUUGCCUUUCCUGACUAUCUUUCCACUUCAUUAGAUUUCCUUUGACAUACUUUGUCUGAGUUUGGGACAUGUAUAGUUUUGGGCAUAUAUGCCAUGUACAUAUUUUGUUAGAUUAGACUCAAGUAUUUCAUUUUUGGUGCUACUGUAAAUGAUAUUUUUAAAUUUCAAAUUUCAAUUGUUCAUUGUUGUUAUAUAAAAAAGGACAUGACUUUUUUCAUUAACUUCCUAUUCUGUGACCAUUCUAUAUUAGCUUCAGGUAUUUUUUUUUCAUCUAUACUUUAAUAUGUACCAUGUUAUUAACUUGAAGAAACAAAUGAAUAUUUACUGGAUAUACAAGUAGUAAUUCAGACUUCUAUUUCAAAGAAGAGGAAGAUGACUUCGUCAAAUCUAUAAAUUUAGAACUUUCAUUACCAUAUAUGGUAUUUCAAGGCCUGUCACUGCUUGACAUCAUAACGAUCGCAGAAUAAGAGAAUGAGUGUAGAUAUGAAAAAUUCUGUAGGCUAGAGCUGACAAUAGAUGGUAGUGCAAUAGAACUGGGCUGUCUGUUAGCCACAAGAAAUACAGUGUAUGUAUAUACAUAUAUAAAUACAAUAUAUAUUAUGUAUAUACACAUGUACAUACAGUGUAUAUAUGUAUGUAUUUAAAAUAGAAUCCAAUUGACAGUAUUUAUCUAUCAGAAUCAAGGUUCACAUAAUUGUUGUAAUUUAUAGCAUACUCCAAAUGAAUCACAAGAAUAUAUUGAGAUGUCUAAUAUAAAUUUAUGAAUAUAGGUAGAAAAAAGUUUUUGUGUGUGUGUGUGUUUGAAGAUGUAAAGAAUAGAAGAGCAGAAGACUGGGUUCAUCUGCUUAAGUGGAAAGUCAUAAUCCCAUGUCCAAUUUCCAUGCCUGGGCCAGUUCUCAAAAUAGACAUCUCACUCACUGAAAAGAUGCUUGGUAUCAAAGAGAAAGGGCAUUUCAAUACCAUGGCAAAUGUAUGCACGGGAUUUUUCCCUUGUUUCAAAAAAAUCACAGCCAUUUACUCAAAUAGCCACAUCUAGGGGGGAAAAAAAAAACAACAGGAGUUCCCGUCGUGGCACAGUGAAAAUGAAUCCAACCAGGAACAGUGAGGUUACAGCGUUCGAUCCCUGGCCUUGUGAAGUGGGUUAAGGAUCUGGCAUUGCCGUGAGCUGUGGUGUAGGUUGCAGACAUGUCUCAGAUCCUGCCUUGUUGUGGCUGUGGUGUAGGCUGGCAGCUGAGCUCUGAUUAGACCCCUAGCCUGGGAAACUCUAUAUGCUGUGGGUGUGGCCCUAAAAAGCCAAAAAACAAAACAAAACAAAACAAAACAAAACAAUAAAUAAAGCUAGGAGAGACUACUAAUUAUGUGGUCUGAGUUUGCGCUUAAACCUGCAGUCCCAACACAGCACCACGGAAUCUAUCUUCGUGUGGUGGCCUAGAGGGGUUGGGUCAGCUAACUCCUGGAGCCCUGUUUCAGGUCCAUCUCAGAACAGGUUCACUGAAACCUGCAACCAACACAGUGGUUAUUUUUCCUGACUGGAAAUGAAAUUAGAAUAUGCAUGUUUAGCCGUUUUAUAUCCUUCACAUUCAAUCUUUAAUUGUCAAAGGAAAAGCUGGAUGGAAGUACAUUCCUAUAACAUCUACAACAUACUUCCACUGCCCCUGGAAAAUAUAGUAGAUUAAAAAUUAUAUUGCAUCCCAGAGGAAUAGCAGAGUUAUUGCCACCAUCAAAGAUUUUUAAGGAUGUGGAUUUCACCCUAUACAUAUUUAAUCAUAUCCACUUUUAAUAGGAAGUUAUACUUCAUGAUUUUGUAUAAUUCUAAAACUAAUGGCCAUUUUGAAGUGCUAUGUUCAGAAUGCAGAAUGUAUGAUUCCAGCGUCCAGGGGUGGACAUAGCAAGGACACUGCUCACUAUCAUUUCCAGUUGUUGAUUUUGUGCUUCACAUUCCAACAGGGAACACAUUAAAAAUUGUUCUACAACUACAGUUGCCAAUAAUUUCUUUGGGCUCUUCAUGCCAGUAGUCUAGAAGGUAUAAAAAGGAAUUACCAAAACAACAGAGGUAAUAGAUCCUGAGCAUCAUUGGCAGGUAAGACUGAUGCUCCUUCACAUGGACUCAGAGGGGAUAAGUGUGGCACUCAGUUAACCCACCCCAGUGUUUCUUGGUAAUCCUGUGCUCAAUUCUUAUUCUCACUUGGGAUUAGAACAACCACAACCUGAUAAACUCAUAGUAAUCAGGGUCUCAGACUCUCUGUGGAUCUCCACUAAGUAAGAAAACUACCAAUAAAAAUGCAAGAUAAAUUAAGACUUGGGGAUUAGCAUAUGUACAUUGCUACAUAAAAAAUAGGUAAUUGACAAAGACCUGUUGUAUGGCACAGGGAACUAUACUCAAUAGUCUGUAAUAACAGGACCAACUGUAGCAGUAGAGGAUGUAAUUAAUCCCAUUAAUCCUCCCCUGUAACUCUCCCCAGUUGUGAUGAUUCAGAAUCCUGGAGUAACAGUGUCUGGAUGCAGUGAAUCUAGGUGGGACAAGAUGUGAGUUGUAGUAGAUGCUUGCUGCUCACUAUAUACCAUUUCUCAGUGGUUGCUAAGUGCUGGCUGCUAAUGGCUCAAGGCUAUCUUCUUUCUCAGGACCAUUGUCUUUAGGCUGAAAAGAACUUCUUUAUUCUGGAGAACUCCUUCCCUUGCUAGGAGCACCCUUCUUUCAACCUUUAAAAAAGGCCAACCACAUUACCUCACAGUAAGGGUAACUUUUUAAUGUGAUUUAUGUACCAGAUUCCCUGGUGGUUAAGGAUUUAUUUGAGACCAUAUUUUCCCUCAUCUUGCACACAUUAGCUCUAACUAUCUUGCUUUCUAACCUCUCAUACAUUUCUCCUGAAAAGUAUUUCCUCAACAGAGCACAUUGAAUAUUAUCUCUGCUAGGAAACAUUCCCAAACACAUAGGCAGGCACAAAUUCUUAAAUACAAUUAAUAACUAGAGAGUUAUAUUCAAUUUUCAAAAAAGAAAAACAUUAAUAUCUAAACAGUAAAACAUAUAAAUGAUGUAAUAAUACACUAUUAAUUGUGGUGGAAUAUACUCUUUAAAACAAGGCAGAAAAGCAACGAUGAAUCUAAUAGUAAUAUUCUUGAAGCUCAUUUAUGCAUGAGAUAAUUAGCAAUUAUCACUAUCUCUUAGACUAAUUUUGUUUUAUCAUUUUACCCCCAGUUACCCAAGUCAUAUUCUGCAAAUAUUAAUACCUAGACUGACAAAAGUGAUCACUUUAGUAGGUAAAAUUUUCUAUAUUAAGAGCAGUUUUACAGCAAGAGUAUUUAUCUCCUUCCAUUUUAUGGCAAGAAAAAAUAAGAGGUAAAACUUUUACUUAUUAUUCAGAAGAUGAAAACAUGGUCAAAUUUUAUUGCAAGAGAUUUUUACUUCAAUGUGAUAGCUAAGCAAAGCUUCUAUUUACUUAAAUAAAAAUUCUGUUUUACAGUACAGCUAUAAAUAAAAUAAUUUUAUGUCCAAGUGAAUAGCUUUAUAGUUGUUCUUUAAUUUGAAUUAGUUUAAAAAAUGCUUACAUUUCUAUUUUCAUGUUUUCUUUCUCAAAGAGCAACUUUAUAUUCCUGCUUUUCAGAUAGGAGGGAUCUUAUGCACUUUGUGUGUGUGCAUAUAUUUGAGAAAAUUAGCAGCAAAAAAAAAAGCUCUUCCAUUAUUUUUGAAUAUAUUUCUUCUGAAUGGGAGGAUGUAACUCUUUAGUAUGUGUAUAAAUAUACAUAACAGAUGAUAGAUAGAUGCUAGCUAGACAGAUGAUUAAUAGAGUAAUAAAUUAAUGGAUUGAGAUAGUUGGGAGAGAGAGAGAAACUACAACGCCUAUCACAAAUAUUUCUAUAGGAAAUUCUGUUCCUUACCAAAUUUUUUAAAGAAUUCUUUAUCUAAAUACUUGACCUUGGUCUUCCUAACUUCCUCUGUCCCUCCUUCUUUCCCUCUGUCCUUCCUUGCCUUUGUUUUCUUCCUUUUCCUUCCAUUUUAAUUGUAUAACUAUCAUCACUCUUCUUGGCUAUAUUUUUAUAAAUUUAUUUUAUGACAUAAACUCAUGAAAUUAUUUCACGAAUAAUUCAUUAAUUCAUUCAUUAAUUUCAUGAAAUUAAUUCAUGGAAUUAUUUCAUAAGUUUCUUUUUAUGAAAUAAAUAAAUAAAAUUUCAUAAAUUUUAUGAAACUAUAUAAAAAAGCACUCCUAAAUUUUAUCCUCUAAGCACCAAUAACACAAUAUUGGUGUGUAUGACAACAGUUUAUGGAACUUGGGGAGACAGAAGGGAAUUCAUGCCCAGGCUAAAAUAUUCAAAUCAGUCAGGAUUCUUGGCUGUAAACAACAGAAAAAACCGAUGAGUUGAUUAAGACAACAAAAGCAAUAAUAAAGGAUAUGACUAGAGGUUCCAUUUUAAGCUCCUUACUCAUUAUAUUAAUUCCAAUAAUAAUGCACAAAUUGCAUUGGUAUGCCGAAUAAAGGUCUCCAAUAAUAGACACAUUCUAAGCUCUGGAAUUUGUGAAUAUAUUACCUUAUUUUUAAAAGUGGUUUUUCAUAAGUGAUUUUGUUAAAAUGUUUCAGAUGGGCAGAUCAUCUUGGAUUAUUUGGGAGGGCUCAGUAUAACAAGGGAUCUUAAAGAUGGAAGAGAGAGAUAGGAGAGAGAGGAGAUGUGAUGAUGGCAGCAGGGAUUUGAAAGAUAAAAUUGCUAGUUCUGAAGAUGUAAUGGAAUAACAAACCAAGGAAUACAGGUGAGCUGGAGAAGCUAUAAAAGGUAAAGAAAUGCAUUGCCCCCUAGCUCCUCCAGGAGGAAUGCAGUCCUGCCGACACCUUGAUUUUAGCCUCUUAAGACAAUUUGGAUUUUUGGAUUUCAGAUCACCGGAACUGUAAGAUAAUAAUUUUUUGUUAUUUAAGCCAGGAUGAUUGUGGAAUUUCAUUAUAGCAGCAAAUAGGAAAUUAAGGUAGUAUAUGCUAUCCUUCUUUCUCUUUGUUCCAACAGAAAAUCAUUGGUCAGUUCCCACUGUGGUGUAGCAGAAAUGAAUCCAAGUAGUAACCAUGAGGAUGUGGGUUUUAUCCCUGGCCUCGCUCAGUGGGUUAAGGCAUUGCCAAGAACUGUGGUGUAUGUCGCAGAUGUGGCUUGGAUCCCACAUUGCUGUGCUGUGGCUGUGGUCUCUGCAGGCAGCUGCAGCUCUGAUUCAACUCCUAGCCUGGGAACUUCCAUAUGCCACAGGCGUGGCC
rnacentral:lncRNA from 1 species